rnacentral:rRNA from 1 species
AACGAACGCUGGCGGCAUGCCUAACACAUGCAAGUCGAACGAGACCUUCGGGUCUAGUGGCGCACGGGUGCGUAACGCGUGGGAACCUGCCCUUAGGUUCGGAAUAACUCCCCGAAAGGGGUGCUAAUACCGGAUAAUGUCUUCGGACCAAAGAUUUAUCGCCUUUGGAUGGGCCCGCGUUGGAUUAGCUAGUUGGUAGGGUAAAAGCCUACCAAGGCGACGAUCCAUAGCUGGUCUAAGAGGAUGAUCAGCCACACUGGGACUGAGACACGGCCCAGUCUCCUACGGGAGGCAGCAGUGGGGAAUAUUGGACAAUGGGCGAAAGCCUGAUCCAGCAAUGCCGCGUGAGUGAUGAAGGCCUUAGGGUUGUAAAGCUCUUUUACCCGGGAUGAUAAUGACAGUACCGGGAGAAUAAGCUCCGGCUAACUCCGUG